GGCGGAGCCGAGGGGCUGAGCCCGCGGGGGGAGGGGCGGCGUCGGUCACGUGACGCGGUUUCACUGUUUACACGCGGAACGGCCAGAGCCUUCGGCCUCAGUCAGGCGCUCGGCUCCGUUUCGGUU
rnacentral:lncRNA from 1 species